rnacentral:rRNA from 1 species
UAUGAGAGUUUGAUCCUGGCUCAGGACGAACGCUGGCGGCGUGCUACUGUUACAGAAAAUAAUCCCCAUUUUUUCUAGUUCUUUUCCCCCGCCUUCAUAAUCGGAGUGGCGAACGGGUGAGUAACACGUGGGUAACCUGCCCAUCAGAAGGGGAUAACACUUGGAAACAGGUGCUAAUACCGUAUAACAAUCGAAACCGCAUGGUUUUGAUUUGAAAGGCGCUUUCGGGUGUCGCUGAUGGAUGGACCCGCGGUGCAUUAGCUAGUUGGUGAGGUAACGGCUCACCAAGGCCACGAUGCAUAGCCGACCUGAGAGGGUGAUCGGCCACAUUGGGACUGGCUUUGUUUCUAAAAGUUCCUGCAAGAAUAAAAUUCGAUUCUUAGUUACUAAGCCGAUGGGACCCCGAGCAACGCCGCGUGAGUGAAGAAGGUUUUCGGAUCGUAAAACUCUGUUGUUAGAGAAGAACAAGGAUGAGAGUAACUGUUCAUCCCUUGACGGUAUCUAACCAGAAAGCCACGGCUAACUACGUGCCAGCAGCCGCGGUAAUACGUAGGUGGCAAGCGUUGUCCGGAUUUAUUGGGCGUAAAGCGAGCGCAGGCGGUUUCUUAAGUCUGGUUGCCAAUCGUUGUAUCAAGAAAAAAGCAGUUUCUUCUAAUGUAUCUGUACCGUGUGUGAGAGGAGAGUGGAAUUCCAUGUGUAGCGGUGAAAUGCGUAGAUAUAUGGAGGAACACCAGUGGCGAAGGCGGCUCUCUGGUCUGUAACUGACGCUGAGGCUCGAAAGCGUGGGGAGCAAACAGGAUUAGAUACCCUGGUAGUCCACGCCGUAAACGAUGAGUGCUAAGUGUUGGAGGGUUUCCGCCCUUCAGUGCUGCAGCUAACGCAUUAAGCACUCCGCCUGGGGAGUACGACCGCAAGGUUGAAACUCAAAGGAAUUGACGGGGGCCCGCACAAGCGGUGGAGCAUGUGGUUUAAUUCGAAGCAACGCGAAGAACCUUACCAGGUCUUGACAUCCUUUGACCACUCUAGAGAUAGAGCUUCCCCUUCGGGGGCAAAGUGACAGGUGGUGCAUGGUUGUCGUCAGCUCGUGUCGUGAGAUGUUGGGUUAAGUCCCGCAACGAGCGCAACCCUUAUUGUUAGUUGCCAUCAUUCAGUUGGGCACUCUAGCAAGACUGCCGGUGACAAACCGGAGGAAGGUGGGGAUGACGUCAAAUCAUCAUGCCCCUUAUGACCUGGGCUACACACGUGCUACAAUGGGAAGUACAACGAGUUGCGAAGUCGCGAGGCUAAGCUAAUCUCUUAAAGCUUCUCUCAGUUCGGAUUGCAGGCUGCAACUCGCCUGCAUGAAGCCGGAAUCGCUAGUAAUCGCGGAUCAGCACGCCGCGGUGAAUACGUUCCCGGGCCUUGUACACACCGCCCGUCACACCACGAGAGUUUGUAACACCCGAAGUCGGUGAGGUAACCUUUUGGAGCCAGCCGCCUAAGGUGGGAUAGAUGAUUGGGGUGAAGUCGUAACAAGGUAGCCGUAUCGGAAGGUGCGGCUGGAUCACCUCCUU